CUCCCCUUUCAUCAUAGAAUGGUUCAAAUCCACAAAGUCUACAGAGGAAAGAGAUAAGGGAACAAACAACUUUAUUAAAUAGUUAAGCAUAUUUUGCUCCUGAAGAAAUGCUCAUCCUUCUCUGCAGUGGUAUUUUCCUUAGGGUUGCUUCUAUUUGAACUUUAUCACUCAAGAUGAGAAGAAUGAAGUUUCAACACAAGUUCAAGAUAUGUUAUGGGCCAGAACUUGAAACCAGGUGUUGACUCA